AAGUCGUAACAAGGUUUCCGUAGGUGAACCUGCGGAAGGAUCAUUACUGAGUUCAUGCCCUUACGGGUAGAUCUCCCACCCUUGAAUAUCUAAACCCUUUGUUGCUUUGGCGGGCCGCUUCGGCUACCGGCUCCGGCUGGUGAGUGCCCGCCAGAGAACCUUAAACUCUGAAUUACAGUGUCGUCUGAGUACUAUAAAAUAGUUAAAACUUUCAACAACGGAUCUCUUGGUUCUG
rnacentral:misc_RNA from 1 species